GGCCGCUGUGUCUCUGCACACAACGGCUGUCCAGGCCGGAGCAGCCAUAGUGUAGCCUGGAGCCCCCCCACCGCUCCCAGGGAGGGGAGGGGCCGCCUGAGAUCCCUCAGGAAAGACUGGAUUCCAGGAGGCCUGACCCUCCGAGGGGAACUCGUGUGCUGCCCGCCUGCUUCCUGCCGGGGACCGUCGGCCACUGAGCCUUCCAGGACCGGAGCUGCAGGGGCGACGCAGCCACCCACAGUCCCUCCACCUCAUCUUCCGCCGUCCCAUCGCCUGCCAGCUCGUCAUUCAGCGUGGAUUUCCUGAGCCACCCCCAGGCACCAGCACCAUGGCUCAGGCGAUGUGCAGACAACAAAGAAAGAAUCACACACUCACUCCCUGUCAAGUCCUCCCGGGCGCCUGGACUCAGCCGUGGGGGGAGAUCAGGGUAGCUUUGGAGGGCCAGCCGGGUCGGCCAAAGAGCUGGCUCAGCAGCUCUGGCGAGGUGGACGAGGACCCUGACCAGGAAAUGGACACACAGCCUCAAAGGACCAAGGACAGGCCACCUCCCAGGCCCCAGCCCUCACUCCCCAGGCCAGCUGGGGGCAGACCCAGGUCCUGGGGAUCCCAUGAAGCUCAGAGGUCCCCGACUUCACACCAGCAGGUCACCCAGGAAACCAAAGGAUCAGGAAUACGGAGACUUGCACGGAGUAAAGCUCACAGUCCGGAGCCUGAAUCCGCCGGCGGCGCAACAGGGGCCAGUUCAGAGCAGGCUGGUCUCGUCUCCUCCGGCCACCGCCCUCCCUCCCGGUCACUUGCAGGCAAUCCCCUGACUCCGCGUCGUCUGCCCCGGAGCCUCAGUACACAGGGCAUGUGGGGCCUCGGUGACCCUGAGGUCCAGUGCGUGCCCAGGAGGAAGGGCAAGCACUCAACUCUGUCCCUUUCUGAUUUAUUUUAUUCCUUUUCAGAAUAAUGAGCCCUAGCCUCCGACCAAGGCCCAGUGAGAAUUCU
ensembl:lncRNA